rnacentral:rRNA from 1 species
ACUCCUACGGGAGGCAGCAGUGGGAAAUAUUGCACAAUGGGCGAAAGCCUGAUGCAGCAACGCCGCGUGAGCGAUGAAGGUCUUCGGAUCGUAAAGCUCUGUCCUCAAGGAAGAUGAUGACGGUACUUGAGGAGGGAGCCCCGGCUAACUACGUGCCAGCAGCCGCGGUAAU